UUCGGCGUGGAGGCAAGGCUAUAAAAGAGAAAGGAGACAGAGAGCGAGAAAUUUAAUUCGGGAAGAGAGGCUUGAGAUUUUUGAAAGAAAAUUUUUAUCUCGAAAAAGUGACAUUUGACAUCGAAAUGAUUUACGCGAGCGGUACCGAUGAAUAAUAAGUAAGAUAAAAAUGAAACGGAAUAAAAAGUCCGGGCGAGUUUUGUUUAUGACAAUAAAUUGCUGUCAAGAGACCGCUGGUAUUUGAGACACGGUGCUCUAAGGAGUUUUUAUUAGAUUCUCGUAUUCGCGCGAUUACAACCGUUCCUGCGCGCGGACGGUGGCGUUAUACUGCGGCGGUACGAAAAUAGAGAAUGAAAAUCCCGCGGUUGGAGUAAGCGACAGUAAAACGUCGUAGGAUACGCAUGUUCUUAGACAAGCAUCUUCGCGUACGUAUGCCAGGCAGAUCUUUCCGGAUAUCGCGACACAUGGCGAGGAUGAAGGAUGGGACGCGAGGGCACGAAUGGACGUUUGCCAGGCGAGAACUCCUCUGCGCGCGGACAGUGCUCUGCGCGAAAACAAUAAACAACCAUCCUGUAUCUGAAAUAAACUGAAGAACGAUCA